GUCGUCCCAGAGAUGCCUUUGGAAAAGCGGAAGGGCACGGAGGGUUCUGGAGUUCGUUGCUGGCACCUGCGUGGUGUCAUGAGAACGUGGCGGGGCGAUUCACACUACAAGGAAUACUAAAGGACGUUCUCCACAUUGAAGGAAAAUGAUCUAAAGAGAAACAGAUCUGUAAGAAGAAAUGAAGAGCACUGGUAAAGGUCCAGCAUAGCAAGUGGGUGGUGAGAUGCCGGCAGUGGAAUUCUAGAAGCAGUGCCUCCCAGAACAGCACUACAGUACUGAGGAAGGACUAUGCACCUGGGAAGCUGUCACACACACAAAAUCAUUUCAUGAAAACUUUCUUUGGGUAAAGGAAGGGUUCCACUGCGUAGUAUUUGAUUUGAGAAGGGCUGCAUGGUGCAUGAGGUUAAGAAAGAAAUGACUAUAUUUGCCUUUAAACACUUCAGCUGAUUCCAAGCACCCAACUUCAGAGGCUCAGUGAGAAGAAAGCACACUAAUUAAAGAAAGCACAUUAAUUAAAGAUACCACCACCUGCCAAAUAAUAGCAUGUGCUGCAAGGAAUGGGGCUAGGGAGAGUGUUUCACAAAUGCAGAGCACCAGGCCACAAGGUUAAAGUCAUGCACUAAAACAGUCAAUCCCAAGAGGCAGGUGUCUGAGUGGCGCGACUCAGAAGCAAGUACAUAAAAACGGAACACUCCCAACAGGACACCACUCUAGCCCCACUUCUGCCAAAGGAAAGUUUUCACAUCAAGGUGUAACACACAUCUUUGCAAUUCAAGGUUUAUCCCUCCCCUCUCCCCCAAAGAGACAGGAAAUACAAGUUAAGGUCCUCAUAGCAAUGGUUUGUCUCCCACUUGGGAAGGCUGGUUAUUGUCAACAUUUUUAUUUAAGAAAACAGGAUUUAACAUGGCAUUUUUCUUCCCUCUAAGGGCAGCAGCACAUAAAUCAUACAUCAGUCAUCCAGUGAUACAAAGAGGUGGCCAAUUGUGUCUGAAGUAGUCACUUGUAAAGGAUCACAACCCAGGCAGUGUUGCUUUUCUGCAAACAGAAGGAAACAGAAGGCUCCAUGGUCCUUGAAGAUUAUCCAAGUUUUCCACUAGUUGUCAAGAUUUCUGUCCCAACCUCUUAGUCACCAUUUACAGCAAGAAGAGCCAGCAAGUGAAAAACUGUUAAUUUAUUGAUUCAAAGUUGUUUUUUUUCUUUUUAAAAAACAAUCCCCAAUACAUGCAGUUCAGGGUUAAGUAUCACAUUUGUAGCACAUUGUUGAGUCUCAAAACAAAAAUAUGCAUCACCUGUAUAAUCCCAUCACAUCUUUUUCCAGCCUCUACAAUACCUAGUUGGGGGUGUUUUCAUUUAUACAUCCACAUAGCUCAGAAGCAUGUUAUUAACGGUUGAUCUGGCCCGAUGCUUCUCCGCCACCUCCCCUGCCCUGGUCUCCACCUCGGGGUUAUUUUUUUCUAAAGGCAGGAUGUUACUCAGUCUUAAUUUAUUAAGAUCACUGACAAACUUUGGCUUCUUGUGUGCUCAUGUGGUCCCUGCUUUUGCUUUCGGAAGGGUUUAUAUUGAAACGACUGUGACUCUGAUCGGUUAUUAUCCCCUCAUUUUUUGUAGGAAAUAAGUUUGCUUGUUUCUGUGGGUGCUCACACAGUAACACAGGUUCCUAAAGUAACCAUUUAAUCUGAACUGGUAUUAAAGGAAACUGUUAACCAGGCUCUCUUAGAUCUAUUUCAGUUCAUAUAAAAAAACUCUUCCAAUUGUUGCUUGUGUCUCAAAGUAGUUCUGCUUCCAUCCUUAUCAACAGAGCACCUGGGAGAACCUAAGUCAUUUCCCUGAGUAGGCACAGACCACGAGCCCCGCGGCACCCAGCUCUCUCUGGGACUAAGCGCCUGACUCGAGAGCACCACCUUUCAGUCCACUGGGACCAAUCCAGUGGGCAGCGCCCUCCCCAGGGUACAUUCCAGAACAUAAACUUGGUACCCUCUAAUUUAUCCCCUCAAGAAGUUAAUUUCCUCCUCAAGAGCUACCUUUAGAUGGAUUUUCUUAUUGGUCCCUUUUCUUUUAACAGCCCUUCCCCUAGCCACUCUCUUCAAGUCCCCAAGGAUUACGAGUUUGUCUGUCUCCUCUAAUCUAUCAGUCUGAGAGCACCUUCCUCUCUGCAAGGGAACACAUUUGCUUUAAACCUUGUGAGUGCUGACAUGUUACAGAAUGUCUGGGAGGAGGCCUGGCUGAGUGACUGGUGUUUAAGUGCCUCAAUGAACGACAUCAGCGCUUCUCUAGUUGGUGAGAAGGCCCAGGAAAGCUUGGUCUGCGUCAUACACUCAAUAGCUUCUCCUACCCAGCCACCUACCCUGCCUACAGGGAUAGGAUGAAAGCAAGGCCAGCUGACAGCAUCCAGGGGAGAGUGAACUGCCACCACACCAGAGGUGCAAAUGUGACUCAGCACUUCAUGAGUUCUACUCUCACCAUGGGAUUUCUCAGCAGAAGCAAACCUUGCAGUCAGGCUCACUUGUAGCCAACAAAUGAUAUAGCCAUCUGGAUUUGGCAUAGGAACCUUUUGUUCUCACCAUACCAGGUCUAUGUUCUUGAACAUAGGCAGUACCUGAGAUGAUAGUAUAACACUACCCUGUUCCCCACAUUUUUUGCUUUUCUUUAGGAAAUAAUUAAGUCCUUAUCAUAGGCACUUUUAACCUGUUUAAGAUAAUGAAGCAAACAAAUGAAAAGUACUGAGAUGAGUUUAAGAAAGAAUAUGCUAACUGAAAAGGAUACUGGGUGCGUACAUUUACCAUGGUUUAGUCUAAAUAUUAGACACACAGACACACACACAGACACACACACAGACACACACACAGACACACACACAGACACACACACACCCCUUUUGGAACUCUCCAAGACCAUCUCCGAAUCUAGGUAAAUAGUCUUAAAAUUUCGGGGGAGCUAGGUUUGGAAACAAAAAUGGUUUUUGGAGACAGGAAAAGAGAUGGUCUGAAACUGGACUCACUUCAGUUUGGAAAGGAAUAGCCUAGGUGCCAAGACCAGACCCAGGAAGGGGUGAGCAUUUCAAGCCCAGUUAUGGUCUAAGUCUAAGGCAUGAAGAGAGGUAAAAGUCUAGGUGCUGGAAAAGCAAGCUGUGUGCUUCAAAGGAAGAAUGCCUGUGUCAAAGCUGCAGUUACAAAACCCCAGGACAAGGCAGGCAGGCGGUGUCUGCACCUACAUCACCGUCAGAGAGACAGGCAGAGGUCAAUCACCUGACUAUUCUCCUCCAGGUACUUUUAUUACCUUUGGGGGACCCAAGGGAAAGGAAUGGAGUUACCGCUUCACCAAGACCCUCCAGUAGGCACCUCUUGCCUGGUCCAGACAGGCAACUUAAAAAAAAAAAGGGAGGGCUGAGGAGUGGGGUGGGGUGAUAAAGGAGAUUGGAGGGGGAGCAGGAAAGACACGCAGUGGCACAUCUCCCUGAUGAUAACCAAUGCUUCAGGAUUGCCUAUAAGGGCAUAUUAGAAGGCUUUUGAUAAUCUCAAACACUGAGUUUUGCUGCCUGACAUAUCAAUACAGGUUUAGCCAAAGAGCUCACAUCUUGCUUUUGAUUUUCAGGUAGAACAAAUGUUUACAUUAGUAUACAGAAUGUGCAAUGCAAGCAGGCAGCAUUGGUAUGAGAACCUUAACUGAAUGCAUUCCUUGGCUUUGGGAUCUUAUUUAUUUUUUACUCUAUAAACUCAACUCUAUAAUAAGAGAAGAGUUUCAUUUGUAUUUUAAGUUCCCACAGACCAAACGACAAAAAUAGAAUCUACAUUUAGAGUAGGAUCUGCUACCAAUACCAAUAAGAUUUUAUUGGAAUAUGGAAUGUAAACAAAUGUUUCAAACAAACAUCUAACCUUAUAAAAAUGUAUGGCAUUAUUAAAUAGUUAAUAAAGAAAUCUUAAAGGGUGAUGUGGUAGACACCUCUAGUUCUAGCCUAGGUGUGUGAAGUCCCCACAGCUGUGGCAUGGCCCUGCAGCUGGGGUGAGGGGACUGCCUACAAACCAUGUUGCUCCUGAGUCCCCAAAAUGAAAUCAGCCCUAUUUUUGUUUAAACAAACUCUAGCUUUCUCUGCUAACAUGAAGGUUUGCAAAAUGGAUCCAACACUUGCUCCGGGAGCACCAUUUUCUUCCCCAAGCCCCUUGUAUAU
rnacentral:lncRNA from 1 species